AUUGAAAGCUGGCGGCAGGCCUAACACAUGCAAGUCGAACGAGUGCCGGACGGGUGAGUAAUGUCUGGGAAACUGCCUGAUGGACAGGGAUAACUACUGGAAACGGUAGCUAAUACCGCAUACCAUCAGCUGUGCCCCGAUGGGAGUAGCUUGUUGGUGGGGUAACGGCUCACCAAGGCAACGAUCCCUAGCUGGUCUGAGAGGGUGACCAGCCACACUGGACAUGAGACAGGGGCGAGACUCCUACGGGAGGCAGCAGUGGGGAGUAUUGCACUAUGGGCGCAAGGCGGAUGCAGCCGUGCCACGUGUAGGAAGAAGGCCUGCGGGUUGUAAAGUACUUUCAGCGGAGAGGCGUUACCCGCAGAAGAAGCACCGGCUAACUCCGUGUCAGGAGCCGCGGUAAUUC
rnacentral:rRNA from 1 species